rnacentral:rRNA from 1 species
UACGGAGGGUGCAAACGUUGUCCUGAGUUACUGGGCGUAAAGCGCACGCAGGCGGUCUGCUAAGUUUGGAGUGACAGUUGGUGGCUUAACUGCCAAAGUGCUUCGAAAACUGACAGACUUGAGGGCUUCAGAGGGACACGGAAUUCCGGGUGGAGUGGUGAAAUGCGUAGAGAUCCGGAGGAACACCAAAGGCGAAGGCAGUGUCCUGGGGAGUACCUGACGCUCAGGUGCGAAAGCCAGGGGAGCGAACGGG